CCCAGGUGACUGAGUGGUAAGGAAUCUGCCUGCCGAUGCAGGACAUCCACGUGAUGUGGGUUCGAUCCUUGGGUCAGGAAGAUCCCCUGGAAGAAGAGAUGGCAACCCACUCCAGUAUCCUUUCCUGGGAAAUCUAUGGACAGAGCCCGCAGAACACCUUGGACCAGCUUUUUACUCUAGAAUUCACUGUCGUCCCGCCCAGCUUCCUCCUUCACCAACAUGCAAGUUCUUUUCCUUCCCUGCCAGCCACAUAGACAGAUGGGAGAGGCAGGCGCGGCCUACGUUGUCA